AAAAUCCGUCGACUUUAGAAAUCGUGAGGGUUCAAUGGUUCAGUCCCUCUAUCCCCA
rnacentral:tRNA from 1 species